GACCGGCGGCUGCCACUCCGGCCCGCCCAUCCUGCCCUCCUCAUUGGCUGGACCCUAAUCGGGGGACCGCCCCUCUUCGGCUCUCAUUUGACCGAAGGAGUGCGGGUUGCGCCCGCCUGGAGCUGGCAAGGAGGCCCCGCCCCCCAGCCUGCAACGCGAUUGGCCCCGGCGCCUGGCCUCCGACCGCCCCUGGCGGAGGCCACUCUUUGGAGCCGCAGAGUCACAAGUUGCUUGUGCCAAAGGUUUCGAAUGCUGCAGGCAUUGUCCGUCAGACGCCUCUGCGGUCCCCAGACAACAAGAAAAACCCAGUGCCACAUUAGGCUCUGGGGUCAACCUGGCUCCCGAGCAACCCACGUCCCCGGACUGUUAGUCUAAGAAACCUAAGUCGAGCCUGACCGGAAAGUGAAUCGCUGUUGUUUGGCAAAGGGAAGCGUUAAAUCAAAAUUCUGCAUUAUAUUUUAAGUUCGGCUCUGCGUUUUCCCGUACUUGAAAAUCGGUUCUUCACAAUCACUAUGACUCUCAGAAUUGCACCUGAAGACAUGAAUCCUUCAAAGAGCAUCCUUUUGGGUCCCUUUAACAGGACAGCCUCAUAGAAAAAGGAAG